CUCUAGCUUUAUCUCUAUCGAUUUGGAAUGAAUCUUCUCUUUCAGUGGCUUGGACAAUACGCAUCAAAUGUCUCUUCUUCUUUGUCUCCAUGAUUCUUCCAUGUGUGUACCAUUUAAGAGACUGUAAGCCUAACACCACCACCAUUAUCAGUUUCCUCUGUUUCUUCUGCUACACCACUCUGGAAGAUGAUAUUUUUUUCUGUGUGGACAUUGUUGAUGGCAAAGUUGUAGAUAACUUUACUUCUUAGGGAGUUGUUUUUACAUAAAAGUCUUAUAUCAC